GCUAGUAAUGGCAGGUCAGAAUACUGCCGUGAAUACGUUCCCGGGCCUUGUACACACCGCCCGUCACACCAUGAGAGUUGGGAAUACCCGAAGCCUGUGAGCUAACCGCAAGGGAGCAGCAGUCGAAGGUAGAAUCAAUGAUUGGGGUGAAGUCGUAACAAGGUACC
rnacentral:rRNA from 1 species